GAUAAACAGCUGAUUGGCAUGAUCAGCUGUUUGCCGUGCUUUUAUUUUUCCAUAUUUCUUAACUAUUAAUAAACUAUUAAUGUAUAAUUGUUUCAUUUUAUAUAAAAGACCAAAAUUAGCAUUUAAAAUGGGUCUACACUGGCAAAAUGUGUGAGAAUAAAAGAAUUUAAACAUCGUCAUUUCAAAAAUUUCUAAAAGAUAGUGAGAGAAAAAUUAAAUGGUUUUCUCUGUUAGGAUUUAUUCAUAGCAUAAUAUUAAAAAGUCGAGCAAAAGAGAACUCAAGAACAGCUGAUUUUUUUAUAAGGAAUUGAAGAAAAUAUUUAAAAUCUGAUGAUUUUCACAGCCAUUUAUGUCGCGAUUUGUGGUCUUUCAGUUGUUUCAACAUCACCUAGGAAAUUAACAUUAAGAUAUCAGGAUCCUGCAUAUAACGAGAUAAGAACUAUGAUCUUGUUAGGAUACCUAUUCCGUCACAAUAUGAAGUGAAGAUAUUCAUGGUGUGGAAGUCGUUACUUUAAUUACAUAGUGCAUAUGAAAUUGGUCCUUUACAUCAUGUUUAAAAUUGACGUAAUGCUACUAUGCAAAAUAGUGAGAGAUGUGAACCCUAGGCAGAGCUACAGAAUUACUUUUGUUGAGAGACAAAUUAUGAUAGUGAUUAGAAUCGCAUAUUCUAGACUUUUACUUAAAAAAUGAUUUGUUCGGAAUGAACUUUUAUAGUGUGGAGGAAUACCUGCAAAUUAUAAUAUGAGGCCUACGUAUAUGAUAAUUUUAUUAUGAUCUGUUGUGUUUGUUUUUUUAUAUUUUGUAUUAUAUAUUUGUGUUAGCUUUAAGAAUUUAUUGACUAUUCCUAUACAAUUGUACAUUGUUUUAUGGAAAUAAAUAAAUGAUUGAUUGAUUGAAUAAGUUAGGAAACCAUACGAUCGAGAAAAAAACGGCUUCAAAGGCGACUGGGGAAUGAAAAUAUGAUAAUUUCAGUGAGGUCAAGCCCUAGAAGUCAUUUUCUUGGCUCGUACUAUUUUUUAAAGGCGCUCUAAGGUUGUAAUUUAUUUUUACAUUAAGUAAAUAUGAUUUUUAAAUGGUGUAGUUUAAGAUUGACCUCGCUAAAUUAUCAAUCGUCAUUCCUCAGCCGCCUUUGACGCCGUUUUUUUUAGACUAUUUGCUAUAACUAUGUUAUCUGUUAUGCAAAUACAUAUGUCAACAAGUAAAAAGCCAAUGAGAAAUUAGUUUCUGCUUGGAUCCUUACAGUGGCAUUUAACAAAAUAUAUAUUUUUUCAGGUUACAAUAUUUUAUUUAAUAUGAACCUGUAAAUGUAAGAAUAUUAUACAUAUAUUAUAUUUUUUACUCAGUCCCUAAAUAUAUUAUUAAAAUACAACACUUGUGUUUUUUAUUAAUAUCGUGUUAUGAUUAAUACCUAAUUAAUGUAAAAUUAUAUGGUAUGUAAAUAUCCUUACACUGAGAAUUCGUUUGGUCAAAAUAUUACUCUCUUACUAAUAUGAAUUUGAAAACUACAGAACAUUGUUUUUUUUUAGUUUUUGUGCUAAUAUUUCCACUUAAAAUUACCGAAUAUAUUUAUGGUAUAGGUAGGAAAAGAUGAAUUUUGUGCUUUUUAAUUAUACAUUAUAUUAAUUAUAUUAUUAUUGUAAAUAAUAUCUACUGAUAUUUAAUAUAAAAAAUAGUUAUUCACAUGCAUCUAUUUUUCUUUUGUAAUUAAUACUAUCUAAAUAACAAGACAUCUUAUAUAAUAGAUCCAUUACCAUUUUAGUUUAUCAAUUAUCAAUCACUAUACGAUAUACAAUACGUAUAAUAUCUUUUAAUUAUAUCUAACUUUUAAUUAUUGAAUAUUUAAUAAACAAAUUUUUUAUAGUGUUUGUUA
rnacentral:lncRNA from 1 species